rnacentral:rRNA from 1 species
CCGCGGUAAGACGUAGGACGCGAGCGUUAUCCGGAUUUACUGGGCGUAAAGCGUCUGUAGGCGGAUGUGUAAGUUGGGCGUGAAAGCUCCGGGCUUAACCCGGAGAGGCCGUUCAAUACUGCAUAACUUGAGGGUGUCAGAGGGGAGCGGAAUUCCCGGUGUAGCGGUAAAAUGCGCAGAGAUCGGGAGGAACACCAGUGGCGGAGGCGGUUCCCUGGGGCACACCUGACGCUGAGAGACGAAAGCUAGGGGAGCGAACAGGAUUAGAGACCCUGGUAGUCCUAGCCCUAAACGAUGAAUGCUAGGUGUGGGAUCGAAUGGUUCCGUGCCGGAGCGAACGCGAUAAGCAUUCCGCCUGGGGAGUACGGCCGCAAGGUUAAAACUCAAACGAAUUGACGGGGCCCCGCACAAGCAGCGGAGCGUGUGGUUUAAUUCGAUGCUACACGAAGAACCUUACCUGGGUUUGACAUGUAGGUGGUAGUGAAUCGAAAGGUGAACGACCCUUCGGGGAGCCUACACAGGUGCUGCAUGGCUGUCGUCAGCUCGUGCCGUGAGGUGUCGGGUUAAGUCCCGUAACGAGCGCAACCCUUGCUCCUAGUUACAAGUGUCUAGGGGGACUGCCGGCAGAAAGCCGGAGGAAGGUGGGGAUGACGUCAAGUCAGCAUGGCCCUUAUAUCCAGGGCUACACACACGCUACAAUGGUCGGUACAAAGGGCAGCGAAACCGCGAGGCGGAGCGAAUCCGAGAAAAGCCGAUCGUAGUUCGGAUAGCAGGCUGCAACCCGCCUGCUUGAAGCUGGAGUUGCUAGUAACCGCGCGUCAGCCAUAGCGCGGUGAAUACGUUCCCGGGGC